AGCGAACGCUGGCGGCAGGCCUAACACAUGCAAGUCGAACGAACCUUUCGGGGUUAGUGGCGGACGGGUGAGUAACACGUGGGAACGUGCCUUUAGGUUCGGAAUUACUCAGGUAAACUUGUGCUAAUACCGAAUGUGUCCCUCUGGGGAAAGAUUAAACCUCUUUAGAGCGGCCCGCGUCUGUUUAGCUAGUUGGGUUUGGUAAUGGCGCACCAAGGCUACGAUCAGUAGCUGGUCUGAGAGGAAGAUCAGGCACAUUGGGACUGAGACACGGCCCAAACUCCUACGGGAGGCAGGAGUGGGGAAUCCUGCGCUAUGGGCGAGAGCCUGACGGAGCCAUGCCGCGUGAAUGAUGAAGGUCUUAGGAUUGUAAAAUUCUUUCACCGGGGACGAUAAUGACGGUACCCGGAGAAGAAGCCCCGGCUAACUUCGUG
rnacentral:rRNA from 1 species